GGAGUGUGGCUUAGUGGAAGAAUGUUUGCAUAGCAAGGACAAGGCCCUGGGUUCAAUCCCCAGCACCCA
rnacentral:tRNA from 1 species